rnacentral:lncRNA from 1 species
CAAGACGAACUACAAAUGCAAAGUCAAGAUGGCAAAAGAUCCGAAUCAAGAGGCAUGCCAAGAUGAGUGACCAAGUCACUGCCACAAGAAGGACAAAGUCUCAACAAGAAUGCAAAAUGAUCAAACAAUCCGUACGAAUGGGCGAUUUAGCAAAUUUCUGACAAGACUUAAUAUAAUACGAAUAUAACAAUAUAAAUUGAAGACAAUAAAAACAAAAUAUCAAGUUAUUUCAACAUAUUUCCAGCAAACCAAAAAGAGUACAAGUUUAUACACAAACCUUGAUAUUUUACCACAAAACAGCUCAAUCACAACUUGGGGACGUUCGAAUCGUCUACGCCAUAAACAAACCAAAUCUGUCCACUUCCUCAAACACUUCCCCUUUGAUUUUUUUCCAAGGAUUUAUAUACCUUAAAUACAUAAUCAAAUAUCCAAAUAAGUUCAAUGAUUUAACAAGUCAAACUAAACAUGAUAUUGGUAAAAAUUACCCAAAAACGUUUGAAACAGAAAUUCUGGACAGUAUUACUAUUCCGAGUUGUGACUCAGUUUUGAAGAUCUAUAAGGACAAACUAGACUUUAUAGUCUUCACAAAAGUUGUAGCUCUAUGUCUUACCGUUUCAGAACAUCUUGAAUCACCACCAUAUCAAUUUUGAACAAAAAGUUAUGCUAAAAUUACUAAUAGCAGUACAUGGAAUAUUUCUUAAACUGGAAAUCUGGACAGCACCUGCCCUGUACUUUCUGACUCUUUUUCAGGUAUAUAACAACAAAACUAGAUUUUAAUUCCUUCAUAAGAGUUGUAGAUUUAUGAAAUACCUUUCCAGAAAGUCCUAGAUGACUUAAAUCGGAGCUCUGUACAAAAAGAUAUGUAGAAAAUACUAGUAGAUGUCUAGUAUAAAAACAGGUUUAGAAACUUACCAAGAGGAGCAACUUGAUCUUCACCAAAAACGAAUUUUGUGCGUUGAUUUAGUAGAAAUCCAUGUUUUUUUUUGAUGAACCUUCAGCUUCUUGUUCUUACGGAGGAGAGAGAUAGAGAGAGAUAGAGAUAGAGAGAUAGAGUAGAAAGAUAGAGAUAGAAAGAUAGAGAGGUAGAUAGUUAUUCUUCUUUGUUUCUGAAGAGUAGAAGAAUAGGGAGCUUAUGGAUAGAUAUGAAAUAAAAUGGUUCCUCAACUACUAAAUAUUCUUAGAUAAAUACAAAAGGUUGGAAACCCAAAACUUAAUUAUAUACUAUAUUUAAUAACAACUCGUCAAAAUAAUAUUAAGUGUUACAUAUAGCAACACCAUGGAACUUCCUUGUCAAUAUUAACACAGCCUAAAGUAAGAAAUUUUCAUAUACUGACCAUUUCACAUUUAGGAAGUGCAAAGUAAAAUAUUUCCUCGUUAUAAAAAAUGCUCAAUCAAAAAUACAAAUAUUAUAAAAAAUUUGGGGUGUUACACAGUUGUGGUACUAACCUUGGUUCCUUUUUUCUCACGAAUUUGUGCAUAGACACACAAGUUCGUUAUAAUUUAAAAUUGUUACAUAU